GAUAGAUUACUCAAUAAAUCGUCUGCUUAUCCAGAGUAAUGACUGAGUUUAUAACAAUAACUUCCGUUUCGCUGUGUUUACAUUGGAGACCGAAGGACAUUUAAAUCAGACGAAAUGCCUUGUACUCGUAAAAAAAUGCGUAGUCGAAUUAAUACGGUGGAUCCUAGACUGGCCGAUGUAUGGCACCUUCGCGAUCGACCAAGUGAUGUAUGGGAUCAACGAGCGACAAAAUACAGACACCAGUCACUCUUUGAGACAAUUGCAACGAGAUUCAAAAGUUACCAUCCUGAUAGCCAGGCACAGAUCUGCACGAUAACUGGAUUUGUCUCCGGAUCCGUGUCCGGAUACGUUUGAGUAUACUUUGGCAAAACAGUGGCUAUCUGCACAGGAUUCACGGCAAUUUGCUUCAUGGUGGCGAACGGUCUGGAUUACGUGAAAAUAAAUUGGCCAAAAAUUGCACGGCAUUUCACAAGCGGAAUUGAAUGGCUCUCUUCUGUUAUAAGCCAGAACAUAAAGUUGACAUGCUUUUUUGGGGUCAGCUUUGCUUGGGGACUGUUUUGGACUGUAGCAAUUUGGUGGGAUUACAAAGAAUUCACUUCAAGUUUACAAAGGUCUUCGACCGUACCCUCUCCAAGUGUGAACUACACUCACAACUGAACGCACAAUCCUAUACCAGACGAUAAUGGAAAGUCCGUUGUCGUUUGCGGGCCGGUUGGCCGCAGCCAAAUUUCGUCCACAUUCCGAGUCAAUCUAAAAAAUUUCAUAGGGUAGCGAAGAGUAAAUCAGCAUGCUCUAAGAUAAGGUAAAUUUGUAAUCCACGUUUGUGAUGAAUUAGAAUUAUAAGUAAAGAACACGCAUUGUGAAUAAAUAAACAUUUUAUUUUUGCCUUAUUUUUCAAAGAAUGUUUAUCCCGGAAUUCUGUCAGAUUGUCUUAAGUAGUCCAAGUACAUAUACAUAACCCGAAUCAUGUGACUGUGUUAACUAUAUAUGUCUCCGUCAUCGUUGAGGCGCAUUUUAAUGAGGCUAGUUAAGAACUACGGUUUUUUGUAAAGAACUGAACGCAUUUUAAUGUUCACUGCUAACUGAAUUAUCAUACUAUUGUAACUAUCUGUUGAAGUAUCUGUCUAACUGUUAACAUUAUAUGAGUGCAGAACUCAAACAAUUAAUUUGUUUAUGCAUGUACAUCGAAGGUAUUUUACCAAAUUUAAAUAAAAAAAUAGUAAAUUGGA